rnacentral:misc_RNA from 1 species
UGCAAAUUUAUAUGUCUACAAAGGAAGUGACUAAUUUAGACCAAUCAGAAACCGGAGUUAUCGAUCCCAGAGGCUUUGGGGUACCCAUCAUACUCUGGUUUAAUAUUCAGAGUUGCACAAAUAGCUCUAAAUUUCAGUCUCAGGGAGUCGAUAAUAUCGGUAGCAGACUCGUUCUCUGGGUCAGAGAAGGGGUACUUAUUGAGCAAUUCAUCCAUCUGUUUGAUGCUUUUCUGCACUCGAGAUGAGAAACAGGUUGGCUCUACUAAGAUAGCAGCAUUCCAUACAUCAAUACAACCUUUGUAAAAACCCAAUUCUUCGCCUACUUCAAAACCCUUUUUGAGUCCUACCUGUUUGCCUUCAUCUUUACCAGAAUUUAGGCCAUCCGUAUAGCCUACCGAGUAGCCUUCUUUGUAAUGAAUGUCCUCUAGAUUCAACGAUGAGUCAAAAAUGUCCUCACUUGAAGUAACGGCCUGAGAACUCAUCGAUGCUUAACCAAAGAUUGUUUGGAGAAGAAAACCGUAUCUAGACUGGUCGCUGCCGCUAGCUGGCUGCUGC